GCCUUACACAUGCAAGUCGAACGGUAACAGGUCUUCGGAUGCUGACGAGUGGCGAACGGGUGAGUAAUACAUCGGAACGUGCCUAGUAGUGGGGGAUAACUACUCGAAAGAGUGGCUAAUACCGCAUGAGAUCUACGGAUGAAAGCAGGGGAUCGCAAGACCUUGUGCUACUAUAGCGGCCGAUGGCAGAUUAGGUAGUUGGUGGGAUAAAAGCUUACCAAGCCGACGAUCUGUAGCUGGUCUGAUAGGACGAUCAGCCACACUGGGACUGAGACACGGCCCAGACUCCUACGGGAGGCAGCAGUGGGGAAUUUUGGACAAUGGGCGCAAGCCUGAUCCAGCAAUGCCGCGUGCAGGAUGAAGGCCUUCGGGUUGUAAACUGCUUUUGUACGGAACGAAAAGCCCUGGGUUAAUACCCUGGGGUCAUGACGGUACCGUAAGAAUAAGCACCGGCUAACUACGUGCCAGCAGCCNNCGGUAAUAAAAAAAAAUA
rnacentral:rRNA from 1 species